UACGAAGGGGGCUAGCGUUGUUCGGAAUUACUGGGCGUAAAGCGCGCGCAGGCGGUUUUCCAAGUCAGUGGUGAAAGCCCGGAGCUCAACUCCGGAAAUGCCAUUGAAACUGUAAAACUUGAGUACGAGAGAGGUGAGUGGAAUUCCCAGUGUAGAGGUGAAAUUCGUAGAUAUUGGGAAGAACACCGGUGGCGAAGGCGGCUCACUGGCUCGUAACUGACGCUCAGGCGCGAUAGCGUGGGGAUCAAACAGG
rnacentral:rRNA from 2 species